UACAGGGGGUGCAAACGUUGCUCGGAAUCAUUGGGCGUAAAGCGCACGUAGGCGGUCUGUUAUGUCGGAUGUGAAAGCCCUUGGCUCAACUGAGGAAGUGCAUCCGAAACUGGCAGGCUAGAGUACUAAAGAGGAUCGCGGAAUUCCCGGUGUAGAGGUGAGAUUCGUAGAUAUUCGGAAGAACACCAGUGGCGAAGGCGACUUACUGGACACAUAUUGACGCUGAGGUGCGAAAGCGUGGGGAGCAAACGGG
rnacentral:rRNA from 1 species